CCUACGGGAGGCAGCAGUGGGGAAUAUUGCACAAUGGGGGAAACCCUGAUGCAGCGACGCCGCGUGAGUGAAGAAGUAUUUCGGUACGUAAAGCUCUAUCAGCAGGGAAGAAAAUGACGGUACCUGACUAAGAAGCCCCGGCUAACUACGUGCCAGCAGCCGCGGUAAUACGUAGGGGGCAAGCGUUAUCCGGAUUUACUGGGUGUAAAGGGAGCGUAGACGGCAGCGCAAGUCUGGAGUGAAAUCCCAUGGCUUAACCAUGGAACUGCUUUGGAAACUGUGCAGCUAGAGUGCAGGAGAGGUAAGCGGAAUUCCUAGUGUAGCGGUGAAAUGCGUAGAUAUUAGGAGGAACACCAGUGGCGAAGGCGGCUUACUGGACUGUAACUGACGUUGAGGCUCAAAAGCGUGGGGAGCAAACAGGAUUAGAUACCCCUGUAGUC
rnacentral:rRNA from 1 species